rnacentral:rRNA from 1 species
UACGUAGGUGGCGAGCGUUGUCCGGAAUUACUGGGCGUAAAGGGCGAGUAGGCGGUCAUACAAGUCAGAUGUGAAAGGCAAGGGCUUAACCCUUGGACAGCAUUUGAAACUGUAUGACUUGAGUGCGGUAGAGGAAAGUGGAAUUCCCAGUGUAGCGGUGAAAUGCGUAGAUAUUGGGAGGAACACCAGUGGCGAAGGCGACUUUCUGGGCCGUAACUGACGCUGAGGCGCGAAAGCGUGGGGAG